ACACACGGGGACACUAUGAUGAGGCCAGGUGAGCGCACAUUGGGACACUAUGAUGGGGCUAGGUGAAUGCACACUGGGACACUGUGAUGUGGCUAGGUGAGAGCACACUGGGGCACUAUGAUGGGGUUAGGUGAGCGCACACUGGGACACUAUGAUGAGGCUAGGUGAGCGAACACUGGGGCACUAUGAUGACGCCAGAUGACUGCACACUGGGGUACUAUGAUGAGUCUAGGUGAGUGCACACUGGGGCACUAUGAUGAGGCCAGGUGAGCGCAGACUGGGGCACUAUGAUGAGGCCAGGUGAGCGCACACUGGACACUGUAAUAAGGCCCGGUGAGCGUACACUGAGGCACUAUGAUGAGGCCAGGUGAGCGCACACUGGGGCACUAUGAUGAGGCCAGGUGAGCGCACACUGGGACACUAUGAUGAUGCCGGAUGAGCGCACACUGGGACACUAUGAUGAGGCCAGGUGAGCACACUCUGCGACACUAUGAUGAGGCCAGGUGAGGGCACACUGAGGCACUAUGAUGAGGCCGGGUGAGCGCACAGUGGGACACUAUGAUGAGGCCAGGUGAGCGCACACUGGGACACUAUGAUGAGGCCGGGUGAGCACACACUGGGACACUUUGAUGAGGCCAGGUGAGUGCAUACUGGGACCCUAUGAUGAGGCCAGGUGAGUGCACACUGGGACACUAUGAUGAGGCUAGGUGAGCGGACACUGGGACACUAUGAUGAGGCUAGGUGAGCGCACACUGAGGCACUAUGAUGAGGCCGGGUGAGCGCACACUGGGGCACUAUGAUGAUGCCGGGUGAGCGCACAGUGGGACACUAUGAUGAGGCUAGGUGAGUGCACACUGGGACACUAUGAUGAGGCCAGGUGAGUGCACACUGUGGCACUAUGAUGAGGCUAGUUGAGUUCACACUGGGGCAUUAUGAUGAAGCUAGGUGAGCGCACACUGUGACAGUAAGAUGAGGCCAGGUGAGCGCACACUGGGACAGUAAGAUGAGGCCAGGUGAGCGCACACUGGGACACUAUGAUGAGGCUAGGUGAGUGCACCCUGGGGCACUAUGAUGAGGCCGGGUGAGUGCACACUGCGACACUAUGGUGAGGCUAGGUGAGUGCACACUGCGGCACUAUGAUGAGGCCGGGUGAGCGUACACUGGGGCACUAUGAUGAGGCUAGCUGAGUGCACACUGGGGCGGUAUGAUGAGGCUCGGUGAGUGCACACUGGGACACUAUGAUGAGGCUAGGUGAGUGCACGCUGGGGCACUAUGAGGCUCGGUGAGUGCACACUGUGACACUAUGAUGAGGCUAGGUGAGUGGAUACUGCGGUACUAUGAUGAGGGCAGGUGAGUGCACACUGGGACAUGAUGAGGCUAGGUGAUUGCACACUGGGGCACUAUAAUGAGGUCAGAUCAACGCACACUGGGGCACUAUGUUGAGGCUAGGUGAGUGCACACUGGGAAACUAUGAUAAGGCUAGAUGAGUGUACACUGGGGCACUAUGAUGACGCUAGCUCAGUGCACACUGGGACACUAUGAUGAGGCCGGGUGAGUGCACACUGGGACACUAUGAUGAGGCCAGGUGAGCGCACACUGGGACACUAUGAUGAGGCUAGGUGAGGGGACACUAGGGCACUAUGUUGAGGCUAGGUGAGCGCACACUGGGACACUAUGAUGAGGCCGGUUGAGUGCACACUGGGGCACUAUGCUGAGGCUAGGUGAGUGCUCACUGGGGCACUAUGAUGAGGCCAGGUGAUUGCACACUGGGACACUAUGAUGAGGCCGUAUGCGUGCACACUGGAACACUAUGAUGAGGCUAGGUGAGCGCACACUGGAACACUAUGAUGAGGCUAGGUGAGCGCACACUGGGACACUAUGAUGAGGCUAGGUGAACACACACUGGGACACUAUAAUGAGGCUCGGUGUGUGCACACGGGGGCACUAUGAUGAGGCUAGGUGAGCGCACACUGGGACACUAUGAUGAGGCUAGGUGAGUGCACACUGGGACACUAUGAUGGGGCUAGGUGAGUGCACACUGGGACACUAUGAUGUGGCUAGGUGUGAGCACACUGGGGCACUAUGAUGGGGUUAGGUGAGCGCACACUGGGACACUAUGAUGAGGCUAGGUGAGUGCACACUGGGGCACUAUGAUGAGGCUAGGUGAGUGCACACUGGGGCACUAUGAUGAGGCUAGGUGAGUGCACACUGGGGCACUAUGAUGAGGCUAGGUGAGUGCACACUGGGACACUAUGAUGAGGCCGGGUGAGUGCACACUGGGACCCUAUGAUGAGGCCGGGUGAGUGCACACUGGGACCCUAUGAUGAGGCCGGGUGAGUGCACACUGGGACACUAUGAUGAGGCUAGCUGAGUGCACACUGGGGCACUAUGAUGAGGCUAGGUGAGCGCACACUGGGACACUAUGAUGAGGCCGGGUGAGCGAACACUGGGACACUAUGAUGAGGCUAGGUGAGGGCACACUGGGGCACUAUGAUGAGGCCGGGUGAGCGCACACUGGGGCACUAUGAUGAGGCUAGGUGAGCGCACACUGGGAUACCAUGAUGAGGCCAGGUGAGUGUACACUGGGACACUAUGAUG
rnacentral:lncRNA from 1 species